rnacentral:rRNA from 1 species
GCCUGAUGCAGCAACGCCGCUUGAAGGACGACGGCCUUCGGGUUGUAACCUCUUUUAGCAGGGAGAAGCGAAAGUGACGGUACCUGCAGNAAAAGCGCCGGCUAACUACGUGCCAGCAGCCGCGGUAAUACGUAGGGCGCAAGCGUUAUCCGGAAUUAUUGGGCGUAAAGAGCUCGUAGGCGGUUUGUCGCGUCUGCUGUGAAAUCCCGAGGCUCAACCUCGGGUCUGCAGUGGGUACGGGCAGACUAGAGUGCGGUAGGGGAGAUUGGAAUUCCUGGUGUAGCGGUGGAAUGCGCAGAUAUCAGGAGGAACACCGAUGGCGAAGGCAGAUCUCUGGGCCGUAACUGACGCUGAGGAGCGAAAGGGUGGGGAGCAAACAGGCUUAGAUACCCUGGUAGUCCACCCCGUAAACGUUGGGAACUAGUUGUGGGGUCCAUUCCACGGAUUCCGUGACGCAGCUAACGCAUUAAGUUCCCCGCCUGGGGAGUACGGCCGCAAGGCUAAAACUCAAAGGAAUUGACGGGGACCCGCACAAGCGGCGGAGCAUGCGGAUUAAUUCGAUGCAACGCGAAGAACCUUACCAAGGCUUGACAUAUACGAGAACGGGCCAGAAAUGGUCAACUCUUUGGACACUCGUAAACAGGUGGUGCAUGGUUGUCGUCAGCUCGUGUCGUGAGAUGUUGGGUUAAGUCCCGCAACGAGCGCAACCCUCGUUCUAUGUUGCCAGCACGUAAUGGUGGGAACUCAUGGGAUACUGCCGGGGUCAACUCGGAGGAAGGUGGGGAUGACGUCAAAUCAUCAUGCCCCUUAUGUCUUGGGCUUCACGCNUGCUACAAUGGCCGGUACAAAGGGCUGCAAUACCGUAAGGUGGAGCGAAUCCCAAAAAGCCGGUCCCAGUUCGGAUUGAGGUCUGCAACUCGACCUCAUGAAGUCGGAGUCGCUAGUAAUCGCAGAUCAGCAACGCUGCGGUGAAUACGUUCCCGGGUCUUGUACACACCGCCCGUCAAGUCAUGAAAGUCGGUAACACCUGAAGCCGGUGGCCCAACCC